CCUACGGGAGGCAGCAGUAAGGAAUAUUGGUCAAUGGACGCAAGUCUGAACCAGCCAUGCCGCGUGCAGGAUGAAGGCCCUCUGGGUUGUAAACUGCUUUUAUAGGGGACGAAAAAGGGACUUUCUAGUUCAACUGACGGUACCCUAGGAAUAAGCACCGGCUAACUCCGUGCCAGCAGCCGCGGUAAUACGGAGGGUGCAAGCGUUAUCCGGAUUUACUGGGUUUAAAGGGUGCGUAGGUGGGUCGGUAAGUCAGCGGUGAAAUCUUCAAGCUUAACUUGGAAACUGCCAUUGAUACUAUCGAUCUUGAAUCAUCUGGAGGUAAGCGGAAUAUGUCAUGUAGCGGUGAAAUGCUUAGAUAUGACAUAGAACACCAAUUGCGAAGGCAGCUUACUACGGAUGUAUUGACACUGAGGCACGAAAGCGUGGGGAUCAAACAGGAUUAGAUACCCUGGUAGUCCACGCCCUAAACGAUGGAUACUCGACAUACGUGAUAUACUAUGUGUGUCUGAGCGAAAGCAUUAAGUAUCCCACCUGGGAAGUACGAUCGCAAGAUUGAAACUCAAAGGAAUUGACGG
rnacentral:rRNA from 1 species